rnacentral:sRNA from 1 species
GGCUGAAGUUGCAGUGAGCCGAGAUCGUGCCACUGCACUCCAGCCUGGGCGACAGAGUGAGACCCCGUCUCAAAAAAAAAAAAAAAAAAAAAAAGAAUAGCUGUGCUCUUUGUGAGUUUUGCUAGAGCCUCCAGAUAAGCUUUCAAGGUCUUUUUGCAAGAAAAUGUAGGAACUCAUGUUGGAUCUCGCAGAACUCCAGGCAGAUCCAAACGAGGUGCUACAUGUGACAGUCUGCCUUCCUUA